UACGGAGGAGGCAAGCGUUAUCCGGAAUUAUUGGGCGUAGAGCGUCCGCAGGUGGCACUUCAAGUCUGUCGUCAAAGACUGGGGCUUAACCCUGGAAAGGCGGUGGAAACUGAAGCGCUAGAGUGCGGUAGGGGUAGAGGGAAUUCCCGGUGCAGCGGUGAAAUGCGUAGAGAUCGGGAAGAACAUCGGUGGCGAAAGCGCUCUACUGGACCGCAACUGACACUCAGGGACGAAAGCUAGGGGAGCGAAUGGG
rnacentral:rRNA from 1 species